rnacentral:rRNA from 1 species
UACGGAGGAUGCAAGCGUUAUCCGGGAUGAUUGGGCGUAAAGCGUCCGCAGGUGGCAAUGUAAGUCUGCUGUCAAAGCGUCUGGCUCAACCAGAUAAAGGCAGUGGAAACUACAUAGCUAGAGUAAGGUAGGGGUAGAGGGAAUUCCUGGUGUAGCGGUGAAAUGCGUAGAGAUCAGGAAGAACACCGGUGGCGAAAGCGCUCUGCUGGACCUUAACUGACACUGAGGGACGAAAGCUAGGGGAGCGAAUGGG